AUGUCAAGCCGCCUCUCCCUCUGCCGACUGCCUGCCUGCCUGCCUGCCUGCCUGCCUGUGCCAAGAAGCCUACCCGAAUCGAGGGAAAGAGAACGAUGCCGGGAGCGCCUUAACUUCACGCCGGGCGCAAGGGCGGAAGGGGCCGAUUGGUUGACAGCCGGCUGCCUUGCCUUAAGAAGCAGGGCGUCUGAUGUCAGUGAGUGGGGCGGUUUCGUUGGGGGCGAGAGGCCUGGCCGACCUUGCGAGGGGUCUUCCCCACGCCCCUGGUGCAUUUCAACGUGCGGCGAGGGUGAGGGGUGUGGAGAUCACGCUGGCGAGUGCCCCAGGCCCCUGCAGACCAGGCCGCUUUCUCCCCCUGGGGGUGCCAGAGAAGGGCAGAGCGUUGCUGUUACGGCAGGUGUCCGCCAGACGGCGCCAAAGCGCCGGCAGAGCUGCUCUGGCUCUGCCUGGCUGCAACUCCAGGCUCAGAAUGGGCCUGGAGCAGGAUGGAAGGAAACGCAAGGAGGGCCCAGACAGAGCCUUGUGUUGGUGUACCGGGUACCUGUGACGCUGUGGCCGUUUUGUGUCAACAUGCAGUCUGUGCCCCAGCAACUGGAGCGCUGGACGGGCCGUCGAGGCCUGCGUGCCCUUUGCUCCUUGGGGGCACGGCGCUGGGACCCAGGAGGACCCGGCUUGAGUCCUGGACAUGCGGAUUUCUAGAGUCAGGCAGGGGAGGCAUCCGGCCUCUGGAAGGCUGGGCUUCAGGUAGCGAAGGCGGUGUGUCACUGCGGUGGUAUCUGGGGAGGCGUGCCGAGCCUCUCCGUGUGCGCGUCCCCUCCAGAAAUCUCCACAUCCCCCUGCUUCUCUCUCCACCAGAGCCGCCUCUCCCUCUGCCGACUGCCUGCCUGCCUGCCUGCCUGUGCCAAGAAGCCUACCCGAAUCGAGGGAAGAGAGAACGGUGCCCGGGAGCGCCUUAACUUCACGCCGGGCGCAAGGCGGAAGGGGCCGAUUGUUGACAGC
rnacentral:lncRNA from 1 species